ensembl:lncRNA
CCUGCUGUGACUCCACCCCCAUGUAGAACUGUAGCCGGCAUGCUGAGCUGAGAAAGCAGUCUUUUGAAGUUCUCACGCUGUUGCUCAGAGCGAUGGUCGUGUGUUGAUUAUUUUUUUUCUGACGGCUCUUUCUUCUUCACCCCGUGCCCUCGUGAAGGCUGAAACGAAAGCAGGACUGAGCUCUUCUCAACAUCUUUCUCGCUCUACAUGAUCUUGACAUGCACUCAAAGCCCUGAGCGUUUUUUUUUUUUCUUUCCCUUUGCCGUUUUUGAUCCUCUACCACUUCACUUGUCUUAACCUCAGCCAUCAUUGUCUGUAAUCAGUGGAGGUGAAGGGAAUCUGCAAGGGAUAUCGGUGCGAUUCGUACCCUCGGCUUCACUCGGAAGCUCACGGGUCGUGGCUUGAUGAAAUGACACAAAGAAGAAGAUGAUGAUGAUGAUGAAACAUUAUAGAGAAGCUUUGGAGGGAAAUAAACAUGAGCUGUAGCAUUUUAUGAAGCCUCAACCGUAAUGUUAACGGAAUCUCUCUUGGAUUUAAAAUGGAGAAAAUCUGCAUAUACUGUCCAAUAGUGCAAAAGUUUGUACACCCCAUGCUUCGUGAGUGAGAAAGAAACAUGCAAAUUGAUCUGAUAUUCGAAUACAUUUGAUAUUUAUAUUUUAAAUAAUAUAGCUCAUAUAUAUUUGAGGGUAUUCUAAUACAAAUCUAAGACAAUUCCGCCUGUUUUUCCAACCAUUUCUCGCGCUCGGAAUUGUGUUCAUCAAUUAGAAUGUAUCUUUAAUACCUUCCAGAAAGAAAGCAAACACUUGAAAUAGGGAAAUUAUUUGCCAAUAUAUUAAGAGAAUUUCACGAAAAGCACACAGGAGAUAAUUAAUGUACUUAUUGGGUCUCACUGAUUAAUGUUUUACGAAAGUGUGCCAAUUUAUUCUUAGGCCAAACUGCAGAAAAAAAAACAAAACAAAUCCUGCCAUAGUUAUAAAAGUUUAGCUGAUUUUAUUCAUAUUCUCACGCACAUGUUUAUAAACACCAAUCAGCCAUGUAUUACCGAGCCGAUGUAAAUCUAGCCACACCUAUAAAACUCCAUAAAAGGCAACGCUCACAGACAGCUGAAGAAGAUGAAAUGGUGACUAAAU